rnacentral:rRNA from 1 species
GAGUUUGAUCAUGGCUCAGAUUGAACGCUGGCGGCAGGCCUAACACAUGCAAGUCGAGCGGUAGCACAGAGAGCUUGCUCUCGGGUGACGAGCGGCGGACGGGUGAGUAAUGUCUGGGAAACUGCCUGAUGGAGGGGGAUAACUACUGGAAACGGUAGCUAAUACCGCAUAACGUCGCAAGACCAAAGUGGGGGACCUUCGGGCCUCAUGCCAUCAGAUGUGCCCAGAUGGGAUUAGCUAGUAGGUGGGGUAACGGCUCACCUAGGCGACGAUCCCUAGCUGGUCUGAGAGGAUGACCAGCCACACUGGAACUGAGACACGGUCCAGACUCCUACGGGAGGCAGCAGUGGGGAAUAUUGCACAAUGGGCGCAAGCCUGAUGCAGCCAUGCCGCGUGUGUGAAGAAGGCCUUCGGGUUGUAAAGCACUUUCAGCGGGGAGGAAGGCGAUAAGGUUAAUAACCUUGUCGAUUGACGUUACCCGCAGAAGAAGCACCGGCUAACUCCGUGCCAGCAGCCGCGGUAAUACGGAGGGUGCAAGCGUUAAUCGGAAUUACUGGGCGUAAAGCGCACGCAGGCGGUCUGUCAAGUCGGAUGUGAAAUCCCCGGGCUCAACCUGGGAACUGCAUUCGAAACUGGCAGGCUAGAGUCUUGUAGAGGGGGGUAGAAUUCCAGGUGUAGCGGUGAAAUGCGUAGAGAUCUGGAGGAAUACCGGUGGCGAAGGCGGCCCCCUGGACAAAGACUGACGCUCAGGUGCGAAAGCGUGGGGAGCAAACAGGAUUAGAUACCCUGGUAGUCCACGCCGUAAACGAUGUCGAUUUGGAGGUUGUGCCCUUGAGGCGUGGCUUCCGGAGCUAACGCGUUAAAUCGACCGCCUGGGGAGUACGGCCGCAAGGUUAAAACUCAAAUGAAUUGACGGGGGCCCGCACAAGCGGUGGAGCAUGUGGUUUAAUUCGAUGCAACGCGAAGAACCUUACCUGGUCUUGACAUCCACAGAACUUAGCAGAGAUGCUUUGGUGCCUUCGGGAACUGUGAGACAGGUGCUGCAUGGCUGUCGUCAGCUCGUGUUGUGAAAUGUUGGGUUAAGUCCCGCAACGAGCGCAACCCUUAUCCUUUGUUGCCAGCGGUUCGGCCGGGAACUCAAAGGAGACUGCCAGUGAUAAACUGGAGGAAGGUGGGGAUGACGUCAAGUCAUCAUGGCCCUUACGACCAGGGCUACACACGUGCUACAAUGGCAUAUACAAAGAGAAGCGACCUCGCGAGAGCAAGCGGACCUCAUAAAGUAUGUCGUAGUCCGGAUUGGAGUCUGCAACUCGACUCCAUGAAGUCGGAAUCGCUAGUAAUCGUAGAUCAGAAUGCUACGGUGAAUACGUUCCCGGGCCUUGUACACACCGCCCGUCACACCAUGGGAGUGGGUUGCAAAAGAAGUAGGUAGCUUAACCUUCGGGAGGGCGCUUACCACUUUGUGAUUCAUGACUGGGGUGAAGUCGUAACAAGGUAACCGUAGGGGAACCUGCGGUUGGAUCACC